UGGUAGCGGUGUGAACAGGUAGUGGUAGCGGUGUGAACAGGCAGUGGUAGCGGUGUGAACAGGCAGUGGUAGCGGUGUGAACAGGCAGUGGUAGCGGUGUGAACAGGCAGUGGUAGCGGUGUAAACAGGCAGUGGUAGCGGUGUGAACAGGCAGUGGUAGCGGUGUGAACAGGUAGUGGUAGCGGUGUGAACAGGCAGUGGUAGCGGUGUGAACAGGCAGUGGUAGCGGUGUGAACAGGUAGUGGUAGCGGUGUGAACAGGCAGUGGUAGCGGUGUGAACAGGCAGUGGUAGCGGUGUGAACAGGUAGUGGUAGCGGUGUGAACAGGCAGUGGUAGCGGUGUGAACAGGCAGUGGUAGCGGUGUGAACAGGCAGUGGUAGCGGUGUGAACAGGCAGUGGUAGCGGUGUAAACAGGUAGUGGUAGCGGUGUGAACAGGCAGUGGUAGCGGUGUGAACAGGCAGUGGUAGCGGUGUGAACAGGUAGUGGUAGCGGUGUGAACAGGCAGUGGUAGCGGUGUGAACAGGCAGUGGUAGCGGUGUGAACAGGUAGUGGUAGCGGUGUGAACAGGCAGUGGUAGCGGUGUGAACAGGCAGUGGUAGCGGUGUGAACAGGC